UAAAAGUUUUAUUCUAGUUUAUUUAAUUGAUAAAUAAAUUUCUUUAUAUGUAAAUUUUUGUGUAUAUUUAUAUUAAUUUAAAUAGUUAAUAUAUUUUUAUUUAUUCGCAGUAAUAAAUAUUAAAAAUUAAUUAAGGUUUGAUUUAGAAAUUUAAAUAAGUAUUAACAAAAUUUGUGCCAGCAGUUGCGGUUAUACAAAUAAUACAAUUAAUUAUUUUUGGUUGGUAAUUAAUUUGAUUUAUAUAAAUAUAAAUUAAAAUUUAUUAAGUGAAAUUUUAAAUUUUAAGAAUUUUUAUAUUAUAUUUUGAAGUUAUUAAAUUUAAUAUUAAACUAGGAUUAGAUACCCUAUUAUUAUAAAUGUAAAUUUUUAAACUUAAUUAGUAUUAGUUAUGAUCUUUAAAGUUAAAGAAUUUGGCGGUAUUUUAGUCUAUUUAGAGGAACCUGUUCUAUAAUCGAUAAUCCACGAUUUAUUGUACUUAUAUUAAUUAGUUUGUAUAUCGUCGUAGUUUGAAUAUUUUAAAAGAAUUUUAAUAUUCAAGAUUCAAAAUAAUGAAGUAAAUCAGAUCAAGGUGCAGUUUAUAUAUAAGAUGAAAUGGGUUACAAUAAAUUAAUUUAUAUGGUGUAAGUAUUUGAAAAAUAUUUAUUAAAGUGGAUUUAAAAGUAAUAAAAUUUAAUUAAAUUUUAUGAUUUUAGCUCUAAAAUAUGUACAUAUCGCCCGUCGCUCUUGCUUAAAGUUAGAUAAGUCGUAACAUAGUAGGUGUACUGGAAAGUGUAUCUGGUUGGAU
rnacentral:ncRNA from 1 species